UUAAGUUAUUAAGGGCGCACGGUGGAUGCCUUGGCACUAGAAGCCGAUGAAGGACGUUACUAACGACGAUAUGCUUUGGGGAGCUGUAAGUAAGCUUUGAUCCAGAGAUUUCCGAAUGGGGAAACCCAGCAUGAGUUAUGUCAUGUUAUCGAUAUGUGAAUACAUAGCAUAUCAGAAGGCACACCCGGAGAACUGAAACAUCUUAGUACCCGGAGGAAGAGAAAGAAAAUUCGAUUCCCUUAGUAGCGGCGAGCGAAACGGGAAGAGCCCAAACCAACAAGCUUGCUUGUUGGGGUUGUAGGACACUCUAUACGGAGUUACAAAGGACGACAUUAGACGAAUCAUCUGGAAAGAUGAAUCAAAGAAGGUAAUAAUCCUGUAGUCGAAAAUGUUGUCUCUCUUGAGUGGAUCCUGAGUACGACGGAGCACGUGAAAUUCCGUCGGAAUCUGGGAGGACCAUCUCCUAAGGCUAAAUACUCUCUAGUGACCGAUAGUGAACCAGUACCGUGAGGGAAAGGUGAAAAGCACCCCGGAAGGGGAGUGAAACAGAACCUGAAACCGUGUGCUUACAAGUAGUCAGAGCCCGUUAAUGGGUGAUGGCGUGCCUUUUGUAGAAUGAACCGGCGAGUUACGAUUUGAUGCAAGGUUAAGCAGUAAAUGUGGAGCCGUAGCGAAAGCGAGUCUGAAUAGGGCGUUUAGUAUUUGGUCGUAGACCCGAAACCAGGUGAUCUACCCUUGGUCAGGUUGAAGUUCAGGUAACACUGAAUGGAGGACCGAACCGACUUACGUUGAAAAGUGAGCGGAUGAACUGAGGGUAGCGGAGAAAUUCCAAUCGAACCUGGAGAUAGCUGGUUCUCUCCGAAAUAGCUUUAGGGCUAGCCUCAAGUGAUGAUUAUUGGAGGUAGAGCACUGUUUGGACGAGGGGCCCCUCUCGGGUUACCGAAUUCAGACAAACUCCGAAUGCCAAUUAAUUUAACUUGGGAGUCAGAACAUGGGUGAUAAGGUCCGUGUUCGAAAGGGAAACAGCCCAGACCACCAGCUAAGGUCCCAAAAUAUAUGUUAAGUGGAAAAGGAUGUGGCGUUGCCCAGACAACUAGGAUGUUGGCUUAGAAGCAGCCAUCAUUUAAAGAGUGCGUAAUAGCUCACUAGUCGAGUGACACUGCGCCGAAAAUGUACCGGGGCUAAACAUAUUACCGAAGCUGUGGAUUGUCCUUUGGACAAUGAUAGGAGAGCGUUCUAAGGGCGUUGAAGCAUGAUCGUAAGGACAUGUGGAGCGCUUAGAAGUGAGAAUGCCGGUGUGAGUAGCGAAAGACGGGUGAGAAUCCCGUCCACCGAUUGACUAAGGUUUCCAGAGGAAGGCUCGUCCGCUCUGGGUUAGUCGGGUCCUAAGCUGAGGCCGACAGGCGUAGGCGAUGGAUAACAGGUUGAUAUUCCUGUACCACCUAUAAUCGUUUUAAUCGAUGGGGGGACGCAGUAGGAUAGGCGAAGCGUGCGAUUGGAUUGCACGUCUAAGCAGUAAGGCUGAGUAUUAGGCAAAUCCGGUACUCAUUAAGGCUGAGCUGUGAUGGGGAGAAGACAUUGUGUCUUCGAGUCGUUGAUUUCACACUGCCGAGAAAAGCCUCUAGAUAGAAAAUAGGUGCCCGUACCGCAAACCGACACAGGUAGUCAAGAUGAGAAUUCUAAGGUGAGCGAGCGAACUCUCGUUAAGGAACUCGGCAAAAUGACCCCGUAACUUCGGGAGAAGGGGUGCUCUUUAGGGUUAACGCCCAGAAGAGCCGCAGUGAAUAGGCCCAAGCGACUGUUUAUCAAAAACACAGGUCUCUGCUAAACCGUAAGGUGAUGUAUAGGGGCUGACGCCUGCCCGGUGCUGGAAGGUUAAGAGGAGUGGUUAGCUUCUGCGAAGCUACGAAUCGAAGCCCCAGUAAACGGCGGCCGUAACUAUAACGGUCCUAAGGUAGCGAAAUUCCUUGUCGGGUAAGUUCCGACCCGCACGAAAGGCGUAACGAUUUGGGCACUGUCUCAACGAGAGACUCGGUGAAAUCAUAGUACCUGUGAAGAUGCAGGUUACCCGCGACAGGACGGAAAGACCCCGUGGAGCUUUACUGUAGCCUGAUAUUGAAAUUCGGCACAGCUUGUACAGGAUAGGUAGGAGCCUUUGAAACGUGAGCGCUAGCUUACGUGGAGGCGCUGGUGGGAUACUACCCUAGCUGUGUUGGCUUUCUAACCCGCACCACUUAUCGUGGUGGGAGACAGUGUCAGGCGGGCAGUUUGACUGGGGCGGUCGCCUCCUAAAAGGUAACGGAGGCGCUCAAAGGUUCCCUCAGAAUGGUUGGAAAUCAUUCAUAGAGUGUAAAGGCAUAAGGGAGCUUGACUGCGAGACCUACAAGUCGAGCAGGGUCGAAAGACGGACUUAGUGAUCCGGUGGUUCCGCAUGGAAGGGCCAUCGCUCAACGGAUAAAAGCUACCCCGGGGAUAACAGGCUUAUCUCCCCCAAGAGUUCACAUCGACGGGGAGGUUUGGCACCUCGAUGUCGGCUCAUCGCAUCCUGGGGCUGUAGUCGGUCCCAAGGGUUGGGCUGUUCGCCCAUUAAAGCGGUACGCGAGCUGGGUUCAGAACGUCGUGAGACAGUUCGGUCCCUAUCCGUCGUGGGCGUAGGAAAUUUGAGAGGAGCUGUCCUUAGUACGAGAGGACCGGGAUGGACAUACCUCUGGUGUACCAGUUGUCGUGCCAACGGCAUAGCUGGGUAGCUAUGUGUGGACGGGAUAAGUGCUGAAAGCAUCUAAGCAUGAAGCCCCCCUCAAGAUGAGAUUUCCCAACUUCGGUUAUAAGAUCCCUCAAAGAUGAUGAGGUUAAUAGGUUCGAGGUGGAAGCAUGGUGACAUGUGGAGCUGACGAAUACUAAUCGAUCGAAGACUUAAUCAA
rnacentral:rRNA from 1 species